AAACAAAACAAAAAACAGUGGAAAAACUGAGUCAUAUUCUACCAGAGUAAGAAAGGCUGAGCACCAUAUGACUGGAAUCAGGAUAAUAAAAGACAGGGGAGGAAGAAGCACAAGCCUUCCCCUUUUGGCGUGGAGGAGCUGUUAACAUUGACAGCUGCUUGUGAAACCGCAGCCUUAGGGUGGGCUACAUAGUUACAGGAUUGAGCCCAUGAUCCCAAACUCAAUCCCAGCAGCAAAUCUUGCAGCCCCCUUUGACAUGCAGACACGCUCCCAGCCUGCCCUGCCGUUUAUCAGACGUCUCAUCUGAGCAAGGAAGUGGUGACAGACAACCAAAAGGCAGGAGCUGCUUCAUCUUUCACAGGUAAUUAACCUUGGGGGCACUGCUCGAGCCUCACAGUGCUUCAGACAGGUGAGGGAAGGCCACACGGGAAGCUCAUUUAAACCAGUGUCUUUCUCCUCACUACAUACACAGAACAUUGAAGGCACUGGAGGAGUAGCUGAGACAGCACAGGACUGAUUUUCCUCCCUUCAGCAGAUUCAAAAAGUCCCUCUAUCCUAGGAAGCAGGGAAAAGCUGAUUUUUGCAUUUCCAGUAGAAGAAAUGAGACAGGAAAAUUAGAUCCAUCAGAGGAAGAGAAGCUUGCCAAUGAAGAACCCGUGUCUGCUUGGCAGAUUUUUCCUUUUCUUCUGUUGGAAUGAAAAUUAACAACAGCAACCCAAACCCAAAAAGUGGCUGAGAUAUUCCACAGCAGAUUGGCUGCAGCAGGAGUUGCUUGGGGGCACCCAGCAUGGAUGCUGGAGGUCAGUGGCAAAUCCCCAGGGUGAGUCUUCUGGGCUUUUUUUACACCUUCCUCUUUCUUAUUCAUUGCCUUGGGCAUUCCAAGGCUCAUUUUGACCAGCUGGCAUGCUGGGAUGAGAACCCAAAUAAGUGGUACAGGUUGAAGUGUUCCCGUGUGUUACAGCAACCCGAUGACUCAGGGAACAAAUGUUUCCUUUUUUUUUUUCCUCAGUGAUGAUGCAUUGAGCUGAAGUGACCCCGGGAGAAGCAGAGUGCAGGGCUGAAAGUCGUCUUCCUGGCAGGGCUCAAACAGUUGACUAUUAGAUCUCAGCUGGAAAUUGCAACUUGCAGCAUGGAGAGGGUAAGGAGAAGUUUCCUGAACCACCUCUGGGGAGUAAUUCUUGAAUGGGGAGCCCUUUUCCAGUCUCUGUAAUGGAGUAUUGAACUAGAUCACCACUAGAGAACCCUGCCAACUUCAGCUACUUUGGGAUUCUGAACUAGGAGGAAAGUCUUUUUAAGAGGUAGGUGUCUGCAGCCUUUGUGGCUUGGAAUUUAAUUUUUGUUCUACUCCAUCUUUCCAGUAAUGAAUACAAUGAGAACUAACAACUUUCUCCCACCUUCAGCAUUGCAUAUCCCUGUUGAUGCCUGGAUAAUGAGAUCACAUGAAAAGCCAAAUGAAAGACCCUGUGAAUUCACACUGCUUUGAAUAGAGGGCACAUUGUGGACUUUGGCUCACUUGUGAAACUGUGUGUGAGGUACAAAGUUAUUACACAUUAUGGCACUUGUUUCUAGCUUGUGUGUACCCUGUGAGAUCUGAGAUAUCUGCAUUUUUUGUUUCAGAAAAUUUGACUGGGGAAGCUUGAAGAUACCAUACUAAAAUUGGAUUGUUACCACUUUGCACACUGUGCUUUUCCCUGACGGGGUAUAAGGACACUGUACAUUUGGGGGAGGAGGA